GAUGAACGCUGGCGGCGUGCCUAAUAUAUGCAAGUCGAGCGAACAGACGAGGAGCUUGCUCCUCUGACGUUAGCGGCGGACGGGUGAGUAACACGUGGAUAACCUACCUAUAAGACUGGGAUAACUUCGGGAAACCGGAGCUAAUACCGGAUAAUAUAUUGAACCGCAUGGUUCAAUAGUGAAAGACGGUUUUGCUGUCACUUAUAGAUGGAUCCGCGCCGCAUUAGCUAGUUGGUAAGGUAACGGCUUACCAAGGCAACGAUGCGUAGCCGACCUGAGAGGGUGAUCGGCCGCACUGGAACUGAGACACGGUCCAGACUCCUACGGGAGGCAGCAGUAGGGAAUCUUCCGCAAUGGGCGAAAGCCUGACGGAGCAACGCCGCGUGAGUGAUGAAGGUCUUCGGAUCGUAAAACUCUGUUAUGAGGGAAGAACAAAUGUGUAAGUAACUAUGCACGUCUGGACGGUACCUAAUCAGAAAGCCACGGCGAACUACGU
rnacentral:rRNA from 1 species